GUGGGCGGUACUUCUGGACAGUGUUGAUGUAUGACUUCUGCUUUGAAUAUUAAAGCCUUAACUUGCAUCUGUGGAUGCAGUGGCGAAUGGUGUUGACUGACAAAGGUUUACAAAAUAUUCCCGAGCCCAUGUCAGGAUAUCCAUUACAGACUCAUGACGGUUUUUAAGACAGUGACGUCCGAGGGAUCGGAGAUCACGUGCAUUCAGAAGUGGUUUUCUUGCCCUUUACACACCGAGAUUUGGCCGGAUUCCUUGAAUCUUUUAAUUAUAUUGUGCACUGUAGAAGGUGAAAAGCCCAAAAUCCUACCGAUUUGUCUUUGGGGAAUGUUGUUCUCAAAGUGUUGGAUUAUUCGCCGACUGAUCUGUUGGCAGAUUGGCGAGCCUCGACCCAUCCUUGCUCUUAAAGGACUAGGCCUUUUUUAGAGGCUCCUUAUAUACUAUGAUUAGAUGAUUACCUCACCUGUUUCAUAUCACCUUCUUAUUUCAACUCGUCACAUCGCUAUUAGUCCUAAAUUGCCCCGUCACAACUUUUUUUGGUUGCAUGCAACGUGUUGCAUGCAUCAAUUUCAAAAUCAGCGUGAAAAACUGUGCAGUUGAUCAGGUCAAACAUCAAAUACCUCGUCUUUAUAUGUUUUUUUGUUUAAAUACAAGUCAAAGUACAUUUACAAAUCCCUCCUCUUUGUUUUUAUUAGCGUUUUCCAUCCUGUCCCAACUUUUUCCGAAUUGGGGUUGUAUAUUACUAAUUGUUGUGUUACUGGAUAUUUCUUAAUGAUGGACCUUUUUUUUUUGUUUUUAUUAGAUUUUUUUGUAACCCUAUGCCUGUAAAUUCUAUGCAACAGAAAACAAAUGUAAUUGUAAAAACACGUGUGAACUACUUGCCCUGAGGUAACACAAUCAUUGAGAGAAACUGUCAAUCAUCGGUUGCUAUACUGUUGAAUGCAAGGACGGGCUACACUUCUCCUGCUGUUCGAUAUCUCAUUAAGCAUACAAUCGACUUCAGCUUCAACACGCACUGCACAACCAUGUGCCAUGUACCAUAUACUGUAUUUACCGGAAGGCUGAAUUUCAACAUCCUUCCUG
ensembl:lncRNA